rnacentral:lncRNA from 10 species
AAACUGCUUCGUGAUGUGUCCAUUCAGUUAACAAAGUUAAACCUUUCUUUCAUUUCAGCUGGUUGGAAAUACCCUUUUUGAAGAAUCUGCAAAGGGGCAUUUCAGAGUCCACUGAGACCCAUAGUGAAAAAUAAAACAUCCAGUGACAAAAACGACUUGUUGGAAACACUCUUUUUGAAGAAUCUGUGGAGGGACGUUUCAGAACUCACUGAGGCCCACAGUGAAAAAACAAAUAUCCUGUGAUAAAAACGAGUAAGAAUAUCUGGUUGGAGACACUCUUUUUGAAGAAUUUGUGAAGAGACAUUUUGAAGUCCACUGAGACCCAUAGUGUAAAAUCAAAUAUCCCAUGAUAAAAAUGACAGGUUGGAAACACUCAUCUUGUAGAAUCAGCGAAGGGGUGUUUCAAAGCCCACAAAGGCCUACAGUGAAAAGCUGAAUAUCCUGUGAUAAAAACAAGAAAGAAGCUAUCUGUGAAACUACUUUGUGAUGUGUGGAUUUAACUAAUAGAGAUAAACCAUUCUUUUAAUUCACGAGGAGUUUGGAGACACUCUUCUUGUAGAGUCUGCGAGAAGACAUUUUGGAAUUCACUGAGGGCUAUAGUAAAAGAUCAAAUAUCCUCAAGAAAAACUAGAAACUAUCUGUGAAACUGCCUUGUGAUGUGUGCUUUCAUCCCAGGGAGUUAAACUUUUCUUUUGAUUCAGCAGAUUGGAAACACUCUUUUUGUUGAAUCUGUGAAGGGACAUUUCAUAGCCCGUGGAGGCCUACAGUGAAAAACCAAUUAUCCCAUGAUAACAACUAGAAAGAAGUUAUCUGUCAAACUGCUUUGUGAUAUGUGAAUUCACCACAAAGAGUUAAAUCUUUCUUUUGUUGCAGCACGUUGGAAACACUUUUUCUGUAGAAUCUGCGAAGGGAUAAUUCAGAGCCAACAGAUGUGUAGAGUGAAAAACUGAAUAUCCUACAAUAAAAACUAGAAAUAAGCUAUCUGUGAUACAGCUAUUUGAUGCGUGGGUUCAGCUCACAGAGUUAAACCUUUCUUUUGAUUCAACAGGUUAUAAACAGUCUUUUGUAAAACCUGCAAAGGGACAUUGUAGAACCCACUGAGGGCUAUGUAAAAAAAAAAGAAUGUCUCACUAUAAAAACUAGAAAUAAGCUGUCUGUUAUACUGCUUUGUGAUGUGUGCAUUCAGCUCACAGAAUUGAACCUUUAUUUUCAGGCAGCAUGGUGGAAACUCUGUUUUUGUAGAAUCUGCAAAGGGAUAGUUUGGAGCCCACUGAGGCCUAUAGUGAAAAACUGAACAUCCAGUGAUAAAAACUAGAAAGAGGCUAUCUGUGAAGCUGCUUUGCAAUGUGUGCAGUCAACUCACAGAGAUAAAUUUUUGUUUUGAUUCAGCAGGUUGGAAAUUCUCUUUUGUAGAAUCUGUGAAGAGACAUUUUAGAGGUCACUUAGGUCUAUAGUGGAAAACAAAAUAUCUCAUGAUAAGAACAAGAAAGAAGCUAUCUGUGAAACUGCUUUGUGAGGUGUGCAUUCAGCUCACAAAGUUAAAGCUUUCUUUUGAUUCAACAGGUUGGAAACACUGUUUUUGUAGAAUUUGCAAAUGGGCAUUUCGGAGCCCACUGAGGUCUACAGUGAAAAACAGGAUAUCCCAUGGUAAAAAUUAGAAAGAAGCUGUCUGUGAAACUGCUUUGUGAUGUGUGCAUUCACUCACAGAGUUAAAUCUUUCUUUUGAUUCAGCAAGUUGGAAACACUCUUUUUGUAGAAUCUGUAGAGAAAUAUUUCAGAGCCCACUGCAGAGUAUAGUGAAAAAUUGAAUAUUUUGCAAUAAAAACUAGAAAGAAGCUAUCUGUGAAACUGAUUUGUGAUGGGUGGAUUCAGCUCACAAAGUUAACUGUUUCUUUUGCUUUAGCAGUUUGGAAACUGUUUUUGUAGAAUCUGCACAGGGACAUUUUGGAGUCUACAAAGGCCUUACAUGAAAAACUAAAUAUUUUGCGAUCAAAACGAUGAAGAAGCUAUCUGUGAAUUGUUUUGUUAUGUAUGGAUUCAGCUCACAGAGUAAAACCUUUCUAUUAAUUCAUCUGGUUGGAAAACUCCUUUUGGAGAAUCUGAGAAAAGACAUUUUGCAGCCCACUGAGGUCUAUAGUGAAAAACUGAAAAUCCUGCAGUAAAAACUGUAAAGAAGCUGUCUGUUAAACUGUUUUGUGAUGUUUGCAUUCAGCUCACAGAGUUUACCUUUCUUUUCAACCAGUAGGUUGGAAACACUCUUUUGAUAUUAUCUGUGAAGGGACAUUUGGAGCCUUCUGAGGCCUAUAGUGAGAAACAGAAUAUCCCAAAAUAAAAACCAGAAAGAAUUUAUCUAUGAAACUAUUUUGUGAUGAGUGCACUCAGCUCACAAGCUCACAGAAUUGUAACUUUCUUUUGAUUCAACAGAUUGGAAAUGCUCUUUUUGAGGAAUCUAGGAACAGAUAUUUUGGAGCCCACUGACGCCUAUAGUGAAAAAGUGAAUAUCCCAUAAUAAAAAUUAGAAAGAAGCUGUCUGUGAAACUACUUUGUGAUGUGUGCAUUCAGCUCACAGAGUUAAACUUUUUUUUUUUUUAUUCAGCAGGUUGGAAACAGUCUCUUUGUAGAAUAUGCAAAGGGACAUUUCAAAGCCCCCUGAGGUGAAUGGAGAAAAACCAAAUAUCUUGUGAUAAAAACUAGAAAGAAGCUAUCCAUAAAGCUGCUUUCUGAUGUGUAGAUUUAGUUCACAGAGUUAAAUCUUUAUUUGAUUCAGCAGUUUGGAAACACUCUUUUUGUAGAAUCUGCAAAGGGAAGUUUUGGAGCCUUCUGAGGCCUAUAAUAAAAAAACAAAAUAUCCCAUAAUAAAAAUUACUAAGAUACUAUCUGUUAAACUGCUUUCUGAUGUGUGGAUUAAACUCACAGAGUUAAAACUCUCUUGUGAUUCAGCAGGUUGGAAACACUGUUUUUGUAAAACCUGUGAAGGGACAUAUCGGAGCCCACUGAGGCCCAUACUGAGAAACAAAAUAUCCCACUACAAAAACAAAAAAAGCUAACUGUGAAACCACUUUGUGAUGUGUGCAUUUAGUUCACAGAGUUAAACCUUUCUUUUGCUUCAGCAGGUUGAAAACACUUUUUUUUGUAUAAUCUAUGAAGGGACAUUUCAGAGCCGAAUAGGCCCAUAGUGAAAAACCGAAUAUCCUGUUAUUAAAAAAACUAGAAAUAAACUAUUUCUGAAACCACAUUGUGAUGUGUGCAUCCAGCUCACAGAGUUAAACCUUUGUCUUGAUUAAGCAGGUUGGAAACACUUUUUUUGUAGAAUCUGCGAAGGGACAUUUCAAAGCCCACAGACACCUAGUUUGAAAAGCAGAAAUUCCCACAAAAUAAACUAGAAAUAAACUAUCUGUGAAAAUGCUUUGUGAUGUGUGGAUUCAGCUCACAAAGUUAACCCUUUCUUUUAAUUUAGCAGGUUGGAAACACUUUUGUUGUAGAAUCUGUGAAUAGACAUUUUGGAAUCUACUGAGGCAUAACCUGAAAAACUGAAUAUUUCACAAUCAAAACUAGAAAAAAAAACUAUCUGUGAAGUUGUUUUGUGAUGUAUGGAUUCAGCUCAUAGAGGUAAAGAUUUCUAUUCAUGCCUAAGGUUGAAAAACUUUUUUUGGAGAAUCAGAUAAGGGACAUUUUGGAGCCCACUGAGGCCUACUGUGAAAAACCGAAUAUCCCAUGAUAAAAACUAUGAAGAAGCUAUUUGUGAAACUGCUUUGUGACUUGUGGAUUCAGUUCACAGAAAUCAAUCUUUCUUUUGAUUCAAAGGGUUGGAAACACUCUUUUUGUAGAAUCUGCCAAAGGACAUUUCAAAGCCCAAUUAUGCCUAUAGUGAAAAAAAAGAAUAUCCAGUGAUAAAAACUAGAAUGAAGCUAUCUUUGAAAUUACUUUGUGUUGUGUGGAUUCAACUCACAGAGUUAAACCUUUCUUUUGAUUCAUCACGUUGGAAACAAUGUUUCUGUAGAAUCUGCAAAAAGCCAUUCCAGAGCCACUGAGGCCUACAGUUAAAAAUUGAAUAUCCCACCAUAGUAACUAGAAAGAAGCUAUCUGUGAAACUAAUUUCUGAUGCCUACAUUCAUAUCACAGAAAUGAACCUUUCUUUUGAUUCAACAGGUUGAAAACACUCUGUUUGUAGAAUCUGUAAGGGGGCAUUUCUGAGCCAACUAAGGUCUAUAAUGUAAAACUAGAUAUCCCACAAUAAAACACUCUUUUUGUAUCCAAUAAAAACUAGAGAGAAGCUAUCUGUGAAACUGCUUUGUGAUGUGUGCAUUCUACAUACAGUGUUAAAACUUUUUUUUUUUUUUAUUCAGCAGUCUGGAAAUAAAUCUUUUGUGAAAUUUUUGAAGGGACAUUCUGUAGAAACUGCUUUGUGAGGUGUGGAUUCAACUCACAGAGUUAAAACUUUCUUUUGAUUCAGAACACUCUUUUUGUACAACCUGAAAAAGUCAUUUCAGAGAAAAAUGAUGCCUACAGUGAUAAACCAAAUAUCUUAAAAUAAAAACUACAAACAAGCCAUCUGUGAAACAGCUUUGUGAUGCAUGCAUUCACUUCAAAACAUUAAACAUUCCUGUUAAUUCACCAGAAUGGAAAAUCUCUUUUUAUAGAAUCUGCGAAGGGACAUUUCAGAGCCAACUGAGGCCUAUAGUGAAAAAGUGAAGAUCCUGUGAUAAAAACUAGAAAGAAAUUAUCUGUGAAACUGCAUUGUGAAGUGUGGAUUAAGCUCACAGAGUUAAACCUUUCUUUUGAUUCAAUAGGUUGGGAACACUCUUUUUCUGGAAUCUGCAAGAAGACAUUUUGAAGGAAACUGAGGCCUAUAGUGAAAAACUGAAUAUUCUACAAUAAAUACUAGAAAGAAGCUAUCUGUGAAACUUCUUUGUGAUGUGUUGAUUCAACUCAUAGAGUUAAACCUUUCUUUGGAUUCAGCAGGUUGGAAUCACUCUUUUUGUAGAAUUUGUGAAGGGACAUUUUUGAGCCCAUUGAGGCCUCUAAUGAAAAACGAAAUAUCCCCAGCUAAAAACUAAAAAGAAGAUAUCAGUGAAACUGUGCUGUGGUUUGUGGAUUCAGCUCACAGAGUUACACCUUUCAUUUUAUUCAGCAAAUUGGAAACACUCUUCUUGUAGAAUCUGUGAAGGGAAAUUUGAGGCCCACUGGAGCCUACAGUGAAAAACAAAAUAUGCCUUGAUGAAAAAUAAACAGGAGCUAUAAGUGAAACUGCUUUGUGAUGAGUGGAUUCAGCUCAACGAUUUAAAUGACAUUUUUGAUUCAACAGCUUGAAGACACUCUUUUAAUAGGUUCAGUGGAGGGAUAUUACUGAACACACAGAGACCUAUAAUGAAAAACUGAUUGUUCUGCAAUGAAAACUAGAAAGAAGUUAUCUGUGAAAGUGCUAUAUAAUGUGUGGAUUCAGCUCACACAGUUAAACUUUCUUUUGAUUCUGUAGGUUGGAAACACUCAUUUUGUAGAAUCUGUGAAGGGAUACUUUGGAGCAAACUGAUGCCUAUAGUAAAAAACCGAAUAUCCCAUGUUAAAAACUACAAGAACCUAUCUGUGAAACUGCUAUGUGAUGAGUGUAUUGAGUUAACAGAGUUAGACCUUUCCUUUGAUUUAGCAGGUUUGGAACACUCUUUUUGUAGAAUCUUCCCGAGGAUAUUUCGGAGCCCACUGAAAACCAUAGUGAAAAAACAAAUAUACAGUGAUGAAAACUAGAAAGAAGCUGUCUGUGAAACUGCUUUGUGAUGUGCAGAUUCAGCUCACAGAGUUAAAACUUUCUUUUUAUUCAGCAGUUUGGAGACCCUUUUUUUCUAGGAACUGUGAGGGGACAUAUCAGAGCUUACUGAGGCCUAUAGUGAAAACCCAAAUAAUCCACAAUAAAAACUAAAAGGAAGCUGUCUGUGAAACUGUUUUGUGUUGUGUGGAUUAAGCUUAGAGAAUUAAACCUUUCUUUUGAUUCAGCAGGUUGGAAACACUCUUUUUGUCGAAUCUGUGAAGGGACUUUUGGUGGCCAAUGAGGCCUAUAGGGAAAACAAAAUAUCCAUCAAUAAAAUCUACAAAGAAGAAAUCUGUGAAACUCCUUUGUGAUGUGUGGAUUCAGCUCACAAAGUUAAACCUUUAUUUAGGUUCAUUAAGUUGCAAACACUCUUUUUGUAGAAUCUGUAAGGGUACAUUUCAGAUCACACUGAGAACUGUAGUGAAAAACUGAAUAUUCCUCAGUAAAAACUAGAUAGAAGCUAUCUGUGAAACUUCAUUGUAAGGUGUGCAUUCAACUCACAGAGUUCAAACUUUCCUUUGAUUCAGCGUGUUGGAAACACUCUUUUUGUAAAGUCUUCAAAAAGAUAUUUGAAGCAAACUGAGGCCUAUAGUAAAAGCUGAAUAUCUUGCCAUAAAAACUAGAAGAAAUCUAUCUGUGAAACUUCUUUGGGAUGUGAGCAUUCAGCUCACAGGAUUAAACCAUUCUUUUGAUUCAGCAGGUUGGAAACACUCUUUUUGCAGAAUCUGUGAAGGGAUAUUUCCAAGUCCAUGGAGACAUAUAGUGAAAAACUGAAUGUCCCAUGAUGAAAACUAGAAGGAAGCUCUCUGUGAAACUGCUUUGUGAUGUCUGACUUUCCUCAGAGAGUUAAAACUUUCUUUUAAUUCAGCAGGUUGGAAACAACCCUUUUUGUAAGAUCUUCAAAAUGACAUUUGAAACCCGAUGAGGCCUAUAGUGAAAAACUGAACAUUUCGUUAUUAAAAAAAAAAAAAAAAAAAAAAAACUAGAAAGAACCUAAGGUGAAGGGACAUUUCAAAGUACAGAGAUACCUAUAGUGAAAACCCGAAUAUUCUGUGAUAAAAAUUAGAAAGAAGUUACCUGUGAAAGUGCCAUGUGAUGUGUUGAUUCGACUCACAGGGUUAAACCUUUCUUUUGAUUCCAUAUGUUGGAAAAACUCAUUUUGUAAAAUCUGUGAAGGGAUAUUUAGGAGCAAACUGAGGCCUAUAGUGAAAAACGAAAUAUCUCAUGAUAAAAACUACUAAGAAGCUAUGUGUGACACAGCUUUGUGAUAUGUGCAUUCACCUCACAGAGCUAAACCUUUCUUUUGAUUCACCAUUUGGAAACACUCUUUCUGUAGGAAAUGCGAGGGGACAUAUCCGAGGCCACUGAGGCCUAUAGUAAAAACUCAAAUAUUCUGCAAUAAAAACUAGAAAGAAGCUAUCUGUGAAACUGCUUUGUGAUGUGUGGAUUCAGCUCACAGAGUUAAACCUUUCUUUUGAUUCAGCAAAUUUGAAACACUCCUUUUAAAGAAUCCACAAAGAGACAUUUUGGAGCCCAAUGAGGUCUAUGGUGAAAAACUGAAUUUCUGCCGAUUAAAACUAGAAAGAAGCAAUCUGUGAAACUGUUUUGCGAUGUGUGGAUUCAGCUCACAGAGCAAAACUUUUCUUUUGAUUCAGCAGGUUGGAAACCCUCUUUUUGUACAAUCUGUGAAAAGGCAUUUCACAGCCCACUGAGACCUAUAGUGAAAAACUGAAUAUCCCGUGAUAAAAACUAGAAAGAUGCUAUCUGUGAAACUCCUUUGUGAUGUCUGGAUUUUGCUCACAGAGUUAAAACAUUCUUUCAUUCAGCAGGUUGAAAACACUCUUUUUGUAGGAUAUGCAAAAAAAAAUUUCAAAGCCCACAGGGGCUGACAGUAAAAAAAAAAAAAAAAGGAAAAGAAAAUCCUAACAUUUUGUGAUUAAAAACUAGAAAGAAUCUAUCUGUGAAGCUGCUUUGUGAUGUGUGGAUUCAGCUCGCAGAGUUAAACCUGUCUUUUGAUUCAGCUGGUUGGAAACACUCUUUUUGUAUAAUCUGCAAAGGGACAUUUCAGAGUCCACUGAGACUUACAGUGAAAAACAAAAUAUCCUAUGAUAAAAACUACACAGAAGAUAUCUGUGAAACUGAUUUUUGAUGCGUAGAUUCAGCUUAUAGAGAUAAUUUUUUUUGAUUCAGCAGGUUAGAAACACUCUUUUCGUAAGAUCUGCAAAGAGACAUUUCAGAGCACACAGACCUACAGUAAAAAAAUAUAUAUAUAAAAACUAGAAACAAGCUAUCUGUGAAAGUGCUAUGUGAUGUGCCAUUUCAGCUCACAGAGUUAAAUUGUUCUUUUGAUUCAGUGGGAUGGAAACACUCAUUUUGUACAAUCUGUGAAGGGAUAUUUCAAUGCAACCUGAGGCUUGUAAUGAAAAACCCAAUAUCCAGCUAUAAAACUACAAAGAAGCUCUCUGUGAAACUGCUUUGUGAUAUAUGCAUUCAUUUCAGAGAGUUAAAACAUUCUUUCAACUCAGCAAGUUGGAAACCCUCUUUUUGUAGACUCUGCAAGGGAGGGGACAUUUAGGAACCGACUGAGGCCUAUAGUAAACAAGUGAAUAUUUCCUGAUCAAAACUAGAAAGGAGCUAUGGGUGAUACUGCUAUGUGAUGUGUGCAUUGAGUUCAGAGUCAAACCUCUUUCUGGCUUUAGCAGGUUGGAAACACUCUUUUUGUAGAAUUUGUGAGGGGACAUUUGGAGCCCACUGAGGCCUAUAGUGAAAAACAGAAUGUCCCACAAUAAAAACUAGAAAGAAGCUAUCUUUGAAACUGCUUUGUGAUGUGUGCAUUCAGCUCGCAAACUUAAAUUUUUCUUUGAUUCAACAUAUAGGAAACACUCUCUUUGAAGAAUCUGCGAGGUGACUUUUCUGACCCCACUGAGGCCAAUAGUGAAAAACCAAAUAUCCUGCAAUAAGAAUUAGAAAGAAGCUAUCUGUGAAACUUCCUUGUGAUGUGUGGAUUCAGCUCACAGAAGGAAACUUUUCCUUUGAUUAUGCAGGUUGAAAACCCUCUUCUUGUAGAAUCUGUGAAGGGAUAUUUCAGAGCAAACUGAGGCUUAAAGUGAAAAACUGACUAUUUCCUGAUAAAAACUAGAAAGAAGUUAACUGUUAAACUGCUUUGUGACGUGUGCAUUCUGCUCACAGAGUUAAACAUUUCAUUUCUUUCAGCAGGUUGGAAAUACUCUUUUUGUAGAAUAUGCAAAAGUACAUUUGGGAGAUCAUUGAGGCCUAUGGUGAAAAACUGAAUAUCCUGUAAUAAAAACUAGAAAGAAGCUAUCUGUAUAACUGCCUUGUGGUUUGUUGAUUCAGCUCACAGAAUUACACCUUUCUUUUG